ensembl:lncRNA
AGUGAAGACUCUCACCAGCAGGGACCAGGACCACACCUACUCUCUAAUCAUCAUUCAAAAGCUCCUUUUUAUACUUGACCUCUUAAUCUGAAUAUGCCAGCUUCAUGUUUGAAUAAACACAAGGUCAGUUUUCCACAAGCAGUCACAGUGGCACUUCCCUUGCUGUUAAUAUGUCAGACUUAACACUGAUAUGUUACUUUCAAUAUGGCAUGCAGGAAAGUUCUCAUGCAGAAGUGCCACAGCUGCACGCAGUUAAAUCAGAUUUUUCUAGCAGAGGUUUCUAAGGGUAAGCCAACACGUGUUGCUUAAAGUUCUGUUAAAAAUAAAAGUAGUGUAAUUUGCACAGCUCCACAGUGUCAGCCUGUGGCCUGAUCUCAGUUGUGGGAAAGCUGGCCUACUUGCUUAAGUCAUGGUUUUAAUGUCACAGCCUGUCUUAGUAUUCUUCUUAACCAUAUGCAUGCCUGUCUGCCUGUAGUGCACCGUGCUGCAAAGCAAGUCAUCUCAAACUAGCAAUAAGUUUUGCAAUAAGGAAAUUCAUAUCUUGGACAAACAAAGAAUUUCAUUAAAACUAUAUCAGAGGUAUAAAUAUCAGAAUUUUAUAUCCUACAGCACAGUUCAGGAACUGUGUGUUGAAAUCCAGCUGAAUACGGCUUUAGAAUAACUUUGAUUGUAGAGUAAAAACAGAUGCUGGACAGUGUUUGCAGUUGGACGGGUUUGUGUUCAUUGUUUGACCCGAUGAAACUACAGUACUGCCAUCCAGUAAAUAAUACAUGUAAUUUCAUGUAACCCCAACAGCUUGUGUCAGACGAAACUAAAUAGAGCUCUGUAACCUGGAAGGAUAAAUAAAUGGAUUCUGUAGGACCACUUUUUUUUAAAUGAAGGAGGGAAGAGUGUGUAUCUGUGUGUGAUGUGUUUGAAGGAGGAGUGUCAUCAUUUGAAAAAACCCAAAAAACAGAAGUUCCUGUUUGUGAGUGAAAAAGGAAGAGAAGCAGCAUGAACCCACCAAAGCCUCGAUAUGAAAGUCUGUCAAACUUUCCUGUGUUUCAUCUUCCUCAACCUGCAGGAUGGAAACACUGGACUUGCCAACGCUGAAACUCUCGUCUAUGGAGUGGAAGGAGGAAACAUCACAGUCGAAUGUAAAUUUUAUAUCCCCGGAAGAAAGACAUUGUUCUGUAAAGAUAAAUGUGAAAAAGGAAACAUUCUCAUUGAAACAGCUGAUUACACAGCUCAGAGUGGCAGAUACAGCAUUAAAUAUGAAAAAAGUUAUUUCUCAAAGGAUAUUGUGCAUGUGAGCAUCACACAGCUGAAAAAGUCUGAUGCAGGAUGGUACAGGUGCACACUGGACACAAGUGUUCAACCAUGUGAUUUUCAGCUUGUCAUCACAGGAGCCUCCACAACAACAACACAGAAUUUUAACUUCCAUGACACAUUCAGCAGGCUCAGGUUUCUCCUUGCAUUUGGUUACAUGUAUAACUGUGGUGGUGGUUCUGCUGCCUGUUGUUCUGCUGCUCAUCUACAGAAAAAGGGCUGGUGGCUCUUUCGGUUUGAACAGCAGCAGAAACUCAGAACAAGGCCAGACUGAGAUUGGUCUCAGUGAACUCUAUCAUCCAGUCUCCUCAUGUGAAGACUCGAUCUACCAAAGCCUCAAUAUAGCCAGCAGAGAUCACGACCAAAUCUACUCUACUCUCAGACACAAUAAGCAGUCUUCAGAUGUGAGCUCCUGUCAGACUGAAUGACUGCAUGAAACAUGGCAAUAGUACUUCUAUUGUUUACUUUACCAGGCUCCAUCACUGAGCCUGGUAAAGUAAACAAUAGAAGUACUAUUGCCAUGUUUCAUGCAGUGACGUGGAUUUUGUCGUCAGCUCAUUUUCUUUUACGCAGACAUCGACAUGCCUGCCAACUUUUAACGAUGGCAGAUAUGAGUCAUUUGCAGAGGAGAGGAAACUCCUCUACAGUGCACCAACUAUGAGUUCAAGGAAAUGUAUCGCGAUAGUGUCAGCGUCUAUCUUGGUUUAUUUUCAUACACUUGAUUUAUUCCUAGUUUUUAAGGACGUACCUGCAGCCUUACCAUGCAUUCCAAAUGUUUUGUAUUUUAAAUCUGGAUAACCUUCCUCCAGAUAGAAAAACAUAAACAUAAUGGACAAAUCUGAACCUCAGGGAGUGACUUUAUACUCUCUAAUAUCAAAAAGGACAAAGAUGUUGAAAAUGAAAUAUCAUAAAAUAAAACAUGUAAUAUCAUGAAAAUGUUGGAUGUAAUUCAUUUGCACCAUUUAUUGGUUCUGAGAUGCUGGAGUCUCGCAUCUCCCACAGGGCGAGAGGUGGGUAAAACCUGGACAGGUCACUAGACUGUCUCACGUGAAAGUCUUCUGACUAUAAUAAAAGUCUUACGAGUCCCACAAAGAGGAACAUCUGAUCACCCUAACUGUGAAGCUCAGGCUAAGCAUUCACUUGAUAGACAGUCUUUCUUUUCUUUUCUGUGUAUGACAUCAGUUAGAGGGGAUAUUUUAGAUGUUGUAAUCUUUGACACACAGCUCAGGAAGCUCCACCCACCUGCCAUUACAAACUUAUGUUUACAAGCCAAUCAGGAGAAAGCUGACUUAAAUGGAGGCUGGUCUUAAUAGAGGGGUGAGCUAAAAGAGGAUGGAGGAGGAACUGAGGGAAGCUGUAGUACACUGUCACACAAUUAUUUAAAAUAAAUUGUCAUUGAAGUCCAUACAGUCUGUUUGGGUAGAGACAAAAAGGAGCUCUGAAAACCAAAAGAGUAAAGUUUUGGAGGACAAUUUAAAUGGAAACAGACACUUAUCAUGUCUCUGUGGUAGAAAAAUUACAGACAGGAGGAGUGUUUAUUUUAAGGAAGGGGCACAUUAAUAAGAGAAGUGACAAGUUCCUAGUUUGUAAAUAGAGAAGGAAGAGAAUCAGCUUGAACUCUUCAGAGCAUCAGUAUGAAAGUUUGUCACAUUUUGUUCUGCGUCAUCUUCCUCUACCUGCAGGAUGGAAACACUGGACUUGCCAACGCUGAAACUCUUGUCUAUGAAGGAGUGGAAGGAGGAAACAUCACUGCUGAAUGUAAAUUUUAUAUCCCCGGAAGUAAGACAUUGUUCUGCAAAGACAAAUGUGAAAAAGGAAACGUUCUCAUUGAAACAGCUGAUAACACAGCUCAGAGGGGCAGAUACAGCAUUAAAUAUGAAAAACAAAUGUACUGUCAAAGGACGUGCAUGUGAGCAUCACACAGCUGAACAAGUCUGAUGCAGGAUUGUACAGGUGCACACUGGACACAAGUUUACAACCAUGUGAUUUUCAGCUUGUCAUCACAGGAGCUUCCACAACAACAACAACAACAACACACUUCAGUUCAGGAAGCUUCACACCUUCAUCAACCUCUCCUGAAACACCGUCAUCAGGCUCAGGUGCAGAUAAGCUGCUUUACAUGAUUCUGACUCUGGUUCUUAUGAUCAUCAUCUUAUCAGCAACUUUGCUGAUUUUCUACAAGAACAGGAAGGCCAUUAAACCCAAAGGCCAAGCAAGAAAUAAGAGAGGGGGCCCCACAGAGGAAGGUGGAAAUGUCUUCAAUUUACACCUCUGCCAAAGGUCCCCAACCAGAUGGAGCUGAAAACAUCGACCUCUACAACCUCACCACCUGUUCUCAGAACAAAGCUGAAGACGACAUGAAUAAAGUUAAUUAUGCUGAAGUGGAUUUUUCCCACAUUCCUGCCACCAACAGCGCCUCCUUGUGUAAAACGGAUGAAGUUGUCUACUCCACACCUCUGGUGCAUACCAGCCCUUCCAGCCUCACCACAGAUGCUUCACCUCCUCUGUACUCUGCAGUUAAGAAACAGUAUUAAUGCUGCUGAUGGCACUUUCCUCUCACAAAGAUCAACAAGUGAUUAUAAUUCAGACAAAACUGAAUGUUCUUUUCUGUUUAUUGCAACUAUUAAUGUCCUUUCAAUCAGUUGAUCUCAGGUUAAAGAUGUUUCUUUAUGACAGCCGUUGAUAGUUUAGUUUAACUUAACAGAAAACUAAUCCUGCUAUUCCCAUUAAUAUUUCCAUUGAAACUUUGUAGGACAGAUUCAAUUAAACAGUUGCAUAAAGCUCUGCAAACUGACUAGUAACACUCCAUACCUGUCCCUUGGGUAGUACAUUGCAUUUAGCUGUUGGAUUUCCAGAUAGUAAUCCUAUAACCAAGCAUGUGUCUGUAAUUAUGCAGCAUUAUUAGAGAUCCCUAAUUGUAGUUAUCAAAAGGCCAUUUUUAUUGUGGCUAACACUCUGGAUAGAGGUUUACCUCAAGACCAUUCUACCUCAACUCAUGCUCCAUAACUUUGGCUAACGGUGUGCAUGGUUGAUCAUUUUAAAAGCAUGUAUUUUAAUCAAAUAUUAGUUUGUUUGUGUUUUUUACCA